UCACUCAGAAUUAUCACUGGAGCCAUGA
rnacentral:sRNA from 1 species